AGAUCAUGAUGGGAGCAAUUCAUUAGCAAACCCUUGUACCUUUCCCAUGCCUCAUAAAGUGACUCUCUUGCAUGUUGUUUAAAGUUUGCAAUUGCCUUCUUCAAAUU